rnacentral:misc_RNA from 1 species
GAUGAAGAACGCAGCGAAAUGCGAUAAGUAGUGUGAAUUGCAGAAUUCAGUGAAUCAUCGAAUCUUUGAACGCACAUUGCGCCCCUUGGUAUUCCACGGGGCAUGCCUGUUCGAGCGUCAUUUGUACCUUCAAGCUUUGCUUGGUGUUGGGUGUUUGUCCCUCGGGACUCGCCUUAAAGUCAUUGGCAGCCAGUGUUUUGGUUUUGAAGCGCAGCACAAGUCGCGAUUCAAGGCUAUCCGCCCGCUUCCACAAGCCUUUUUCACUUUUGACCUCGGAUCAGGUAGGGAUACCCGCUGAACUUAAGCAUAUCAAUAAGCGGAGGA